UUUAUUAAUAAUUAUAUUAUUUAAUUAAUAUUUGUUAUGAUAAAAAGUCUUUAG
rnacentral:tRNA from 1 species